UUAAAUUGAAGAGUUUGAUCAUGGCUCAGAUUGAACGCUGGCGGCAGGCCUAACACAUGCAAGUCGAACGGUAACAGGAAGCAGCUUGCUGUUUCGCUGACGAGUGGCGGACGGGUGAGUAAUGUC
rnacentral:rRNA from 1 species